GGGAGCAGGAAGCAGGAAAGGUGCAACACCUGCAUAGUGCUAACAAAAAAAAAAGCAGUCUUAUUAUUGUGCCGGGCCCCCUUCGACUGGGUCUACUACACCCCGUCAGCCAUGUGGAGUCUACUGACAGAUAUAAGGUCCCUAGAUCCAUCCAUCCAUCUUCUUCCGCUUAUCCGAGGUCGGGUCGCGGGGGCAGCAGCCUAAGCAGG